UCACGUUAUUUUUUCUAUUUUAUUGUGAAAAACAUAGUAGAUUAGAUAAAAUGUCUAAUACGAAUAGACGUGUUUUGAACAUUUUAAAAUUGAUGUGAAUUCAUACAUAUAUAGAAAAAUGAAUUAGAUUUUGAAAGUAUGUAUAAAGGGAUCAUUCAGUAUUUUAGAGUUGUUUGAGGCUAUUUGUUUCGUUUUAUUAUAAGAAACCUAAUGCAUAAGUUAUGUAUAGCCAUGUAUUCCGAGAAGCGAAACAAUAUUAUUGUCAAAUAAAAAAAAAAUCAUAAGAUAAAGAGAUUAAUUGGAAUAGAUAAUUUGAUAGAUUCAAUGAGUUAACGUAAUUUUUUCUAUUUUAUUAUAAAAAAUUUAAUAGAUUAGGUCAGUGGUUCUCAAUCUGUACUCCUGAGGAUACACCGAAACACUUUUAUGGGUACACUACAGCCAUUAAUUACUUACUAAAAUUAUUAUAAUUUUACAAGAUUUUCUAAAUGUCUAUGUCAUUUUUUCUAUGUUUAUCGAUAUAUGUAAUUUAUACAAAAUUUAAUGCGUCCUCAAAUAUUUUAUUUUAUCCCGGUUGAGAACCACUACCCUAAAGCAUUAUUUUUCCCGAAAGAAUUCUCCCCGAAAGAAUACAAAGCCAUGGACGAAAGUAGGUUAGUUGAGGUACGUCAAACGCGUAUAGAUCUCAGCAUCAUAGUGAUGCAUGCUGCAUGACUACCGAAACUCCUUGACCGGAUGAUUUUGUUACAUUUCAUUAAAAUUAUAUCAUACAAAGAGCUUCGUAAUUCGAAUAUCGAAAGGAAAUAAAAUUCAGAAUACGAAAUAUCUAUAUAAAUCGAAUCUCUUAUCGUUUAUUCAAGAUCUAAUGUUAGAAUUCUAAUAUAAUGUCUAUUGUAUUCAAUCCGAAUACAGUGAUUUGUGUUGCCUUUCAUAUAAAGUGAGAAUAAAAACUUCUAUUUUCUUCUACUGUGAUGGUAACUUCAUUGCAACGAUGUCUUAAUGUUCAGAAUCAUCCUUUAUGAAUAUAAUAUUAAUAGAUCUCUUUUUUCCCAUUUAUGCUUUUCUUUACUUCGGCGCGACAAUAGCAACAUAGAUGAAUAUCAUAUUGCAGUAUAGUAUUAUAUUUAUAAGAUGUUAAACAUUAAGAAAUGAUGUACAUAAGCUUCCUCCGUUGUUCUUAUGUCUAGAUUCACAUCUUUUGAAUAUCGCCCAACUUUUUUAAUACCUUGUAUGGUAAUUAUAAUAAUGAUAUUUUAAUCUCUUCAUGAAUAAAUUCGCUUUCCGAUAGAAUUAUUAUACAUAUAUUAAAGGCGAUCAUAUUUGUUUCUGAAAAUGCAACGUACAAAAACUUUUAUUUUAUCGGUUAUUUUUGGAAUAGUUCACCUCGUAGGUUAGUGCUUGAUAAUAGUUUAUCCGAUUGGAUCGCGUUUCUCCGCUUUUUAGCGUAAUAAAUGUCGUCGUGACUCUGAGAGAAAGCGAUGUUGAAGUGGUCCUGAGAGUAGCAAAGAAAGUUUUGAGCGGAGAAAGUUAAUGUUGGGCAUUUUGGAAACAUUUCGCCAUUAUUAGAUGUUGGCAGAAAACGUUAUAAUCGAUCGAAAAGGAGAUUCAGGUGUCAAGAGGUCGCCACCAUAGACGUCAGUACAUGUGUAGGAAAUUAUGAUUGACUACAAUAAUUUUUAAUUAAUUACAAUAAACGUGUAGUUGACGUUCUAUGCUUAUAAACAAACAUUUUUUAUUGUUAAAUGGGCCAAGAGUAUGUAUUUAGACAAGAACAGUAAAUGUAAGAGUGCAUAUAUGACAUCACCUAAUUCUAAUUUGUUUUAUUAAAAGUCGAUCCAGGCUUUUGACCGCAAACAUUUAUCUAUGUUCCAGAUUUUAACUAAUUUGAAUCUUAAUCGAUUUUGACUAUUUUAUUAUUCUAUUCGAUUGUUCAUCUUUAAAUUUAUUUCAAUCCUUUUUUUAAUGUUAUAUUUAUAUUUUUGUGUGUUAUAUUUUUCUAGUUUUACCAUUUACUACACGUGUUAUACAAAUCAUAUACUAGAAUUGUUAUUCAUAAAAAUUCAAAGGAAUAAGGAAGACUCAUAGCAUGUAUAGUUAAAUAUAACCAUAAAUUCGUUUUUAUUGCACACUACUCGAUGGCAUGCAGGCAUGUAUAUACGUACAUACGUAAUAUAUAUAGUUUGCGACGCUUGGGAUGAUUUCUUGGAUCGUCCAUUGCUUGACAAAGGAAAAGAUGCGUCAUCACUGCUAGAGCAGAACAAUUGACGGCUUGAAGUUGCAAAUUUUUAUCAAGUGAUUUCUAUGUGCGACUAAUACUUGACCUUAAUAUUCAAUCAUUGAACCAGUUCUAUAUAGAUUUGCGUAUUGAAUUAUUCCUACGUUGUAUUGUCAGGAUUAAAUAUUCUCUAAAUAUCGAAAAUCACUAUCGUAAAAUUCGAUAUAACGAACUCCAGGACAACACCAACAAAAAUAAAAUAAUAGUAUUCUGCAAAUCCGGCAAACUAAAGAGGAAAAUGAAGCUAAAAUAUAAUGAGAACGAAUUAGAAGUGUUAAAAUACUACAUCUACUGCAUCUAGAUGUUACUUUUACGUCCUUAGGGGCAUUCAAUAAGGCCUGCGAACAGUUCCUAGCAAAAGUUAAACUGCUCUGUGGGAGUACUUUGGAAACCACUCAUAAAGAUAAAAAUAUACAACUGGAAAGCAAAAAUGAAAAUAUUCAAACGAGACGGCGCUGAGAAAGGUGAAAACCAAAGAGGGAACUUACCAAACAUCCUAAAGAAAAUCAGGGAGAAAUAUAUUCUAGAGGACAAACAUAGUAUCUUAAAUUCCAGUUAUAAUCCGAUGUACAAAAGUAUCAAGGAUUUGCAGGCAUAUAAAUGUGAAGACUACAUAUAUUCAAUUUCAACUGCCAAUAAACAUAAUAAGAAACAUAACGCAGCUCAGACUAGCUGGAAAUGAAGAAGCUCAUUUAAGUAACAAAAACGACGACAUAUUCAAUAAUUAUGAACUUGAAACCAAAGAACAUAUACUGUACAAAUGUCCAAGGAAUCAGCGAGCAGAUUGCAUAUUACAAUGGAAUACUCUGAGACACCGUGAAUAGCAAAAGAAAAAAAGCGGAAACAGUAUAUUAUUUUAAACAAACAAUAUUGAAAAUAGAAGUCUUUUAUUUAAACUAUUAAUUUUAAGGAUGCUUAAAAUAUAAGAGUAACAAAUAAGAACAAUGUCUGUACCUACCGAGACAGAAUCGUAAUAAACGACUAUUAUUAUUAUU